GGACGUAUAGCUCAGUUGGUUAGAGCGCUACGUUGACAUCGUAGAGGUUCCUCGGUUCGAGUCCGAGUACGUCCA
rnacentral:tRNA from 4 species